GACAGAGGUGCCGAGCGUUAGGCGGAAUCACUGGGCUUAAAGCGUGUGUAGGCGGAUGGGUAAGUACCUUGUGAAAUCCCACGGCUCAACCGUGGAACUGCUCGGUAUACUGCUCGUCUUGAGCCAACUAGGGGCGACCGGAACAAACGGUGGAGCGGUGAAAUGCGUAGAUAUUGGAAGGAACAUCAGUGGCGAAGGCGACUUUCUGGACAGAUACUGACACUGAGGCACGAAAGCAUGGGGAGCAAACAGG
rnacentral:rRNA from 1 species